rnacentral:rRNA from 1 species
UACAGAGGUCUCAAGCGUUGUUCGGAUUCAUUGGGCGUAAAGGGUGCGUAGGCGGCGCGGUAAGUCGGGUGUGAAAUCUCGGGGCUUAACUCCGAAACUGCAUUCGAUACUGCCGUGCUUGAGGACUGGAGAGGAGACUGGAAUUUACGGUGUAGCGGUGAAAUGCGUAGAGAUGUGGAGGAACACCGAUGGCGAAGGCAGCCCCCUGGGCUAGUACUGACGCUCAUGCACGAAAGCGUGGGGAGCAAACAGG